AAUAGUGUCCACUGCGUGUUUUCUUCUUACCUUGGAGAAUUUAGUAUGAUUUCCGGGAACUUUUGGCAUACUAAAUAUAGCCAUACUAUGACCAAUAAAUACACUACAUACUCAAUUUACGUCACAAAUAAAAACAACUGAACCACCACCAUAUAGGCCUACACUCGUAGAAAAAAAGGUAGAAUGCCUUCAGUGCCAAGGUUCCAUUCCACAGAGGGUUCUAUGUGGAACCCUAAGGGGUUCUCCUUUGGUGACAGCCAAAUAACCCUGUUAGAACCCCUUUUUUGAAGUGUACUCAACAAGUUCAACCUGUUCAGUUUACCCCAUUUAAUUCUGUACCCCAACACCUGUCUGGUAUUCAAGAUAUCACCCAACAUAGCACCAAUACCUUGAACGUUUUUGUCAACCUCUGCUGACUUAAAUAGCCAUGUUCCAAGAUCCUCCACCAGGGGUGACUGUAGCAUCCUCAAACGGACAAAAAGGAGACACAAGAGGGCACUCCACCCUCAUUUUAGAUCCCAAGGGGUCUUUAUUUUCAUGCAUUUAUGGCAUUUCAACAUUGACACAGAGGGGCACAUCACACUCACUUAUUUUCUUGGAACUCCACACACGCACACACUACAUUUCUCACAUUUUAGGUAUUCAGCUGAGGCCUUGGGUGGAUCAUGUUGCACUGAGAUGAGCACAGACACAGACAGGGUACAGACACAGUACAGUCCUUUUCAGUGUGGCGGCAAAUUAGUUGAACAGGAGAAGAGGAUGUGGUUGCUUGUGUGAGGGAGAGCAGUGGGGGUGGUAGGUUGAACAGCUGCAGUGAAGCUGAUUAGUUGCUCUGGUUCAUCACAUCUUGACUAAAAUAAAGAUAGAUUUAGCAAUUAGUUCGACAUUGCCAUAGUUCAACAGCUGAAAAGCCAAAGACAUUCAGUAUUCACUAAAUUAAGUAACCUACCCAUCCCCAUUUACAAUUUAAUUAAUCAAUGAAAUAAAUAAUUCUG